rnacentral:lncRNA from 1 species
CAUGACAGUGUGUUGCUGCACUUACGUCAGCAACACACACCUUUCAGCUGAAAAGAAAUAAACACACACACAGACUGAGGGCGGCCUCAGAUGAGUAGACAUAAACUGAUGAAGCCAAAGAUGAUGUCUACGGUGGUCAUUGCCAGGACAGAUGAGCCACUGGCCCCCGUUUGCAGGAAUGCAAUGAUGCAGCGGAACAGCCCCAACCUGAAUCUGCCAACUACAAUCCUCGACAGCCUGAAGACACCUGGUCGCCAUCUGUUCACCGUCCCAUGCCAAGAUGAGUCCCAGUGUGCCCCACCGGCUGCUCCUGCCCCCACACAUCCUCAGUCUCACACACAGUCGGCAGAUCCCGAGAAGGAGUCGGAGAACCUGCCACCCAGACGGCCUCUGAAACUGGCCCCUCUGGAUCGCCCCACAGAGGUGAGGGAGCUUCAGAGGAGGAAGAUCCAGGGGAGGCCGCAGGAGGUUAAGGCCGUAGUACGGAAACUGGAGGCCGGGGCCAGGAAGGUGAAAACCUGCGGGAGGGAAGGGAUGCCCAUAUCCCCCGAGCGAGCCCCAUUUUCUAGGGCCCAGCCGGUUACAGCAUUCCCCACCAAAUCUAAACAACCAAUCACAACGCUGCUCCUCCCUGUCAGCCAGGUCAUACCUUUCAGUGAAAGGGCAAAGAAGAAAGAACCCAAAAUCAGCCCUCCUGCUCCCAUCGGCUGUAAAUCAGCUCCUCCUUCACCAACUGUGCGUUCCGUCUGUCUCCAAAUGGACAAGCUGGACAACAAGCAGGUGGCACGUGCCGGUGAUAUCACACCGCAGGGUGCACCCAGAUCACGGGAAGUGGCUAAGGCCAGGCCACGUUUGCGCAGGGCCCAGAGGCUGGAUGAGGAUCAGGGCAGAUCAGGCCCUGGAUUAUCCUCAGAGGAGGAUGGUAAACCCAGCCAGCUGGUCCCUGGUGGAGGCCGAAGAGCAGAGGCCGGUCGCGUGCUGGUAAAGGCGUCCAGAAGGAACGUGGUACCUGCAGAUGGGGCCCAGAGAAGAGUUCUGACCAGGGAAAAGCCAUUCAUCGCAGAUGAUGGAGGAGACUUGAUCUGAUCUGGCUUGAUUUGGAAAUUUUACUGACAGAUUAACAAAUCUAAAAAUAAAAUCAUUUAUUCAUUUCA